rnacentral:rRNA from 1 species
GAGUUUGAUCAUGGCUCAGAUUGAACGCUGGCGGAAUGCUUUACACAUGCAAGUCGAGCGGCAGCGCGGGGCAACCUGGCGGCGAGCGGCGAACGGGUGAGUAAUGCAUCGGAACGUGUCCAUGUCGUGGGGGAUAGCCCGGCGAAAGCCGGAUUAAUACCGCAUACGCCCGAGAGGGGAAAGUGGGGGACCGCAAGGCCUCACGCGAUUGGGUCGGCCGAUGUCCGAUUAGCUAGUUGGCGGGGUAAAGGCCCACCAAGGCGAUGAUCGGUAGCUGGUCUGAGAGGAUGAUCAGCCACACUGGGACUGAGACACGGCCCAGACUCCUACGGGAGGCAGCAGUGGGGAAUUUUGGACAAUGGGGGCAACCCUGAUCCAGCCAUUCCGCGUGAGUGAAGAAGGCCUUC